AACGAACGCUGGCGGCGCGCCUAAUACAUGCAAGUCGAGCGAGAAGACGUAGCAAUACGUUUGUAAAGCGGCGAACGGGUGAGGAAUACAUGGGUAACCUACCCUCGAGUGGGGAAUAACUAGCCGAAAGGUUAGCUAAUACCGCAUACGAUUCCCGAACUGCGGUUUGGGAAAGAAAGCGAUACCGUGGGUAUCGCGCUCUUGGAUGGGCUCAUGUCCUAUCAGCUUGUUGGUGAGGUAAUGGCUCACCAAGGCUUCGACGGGUAGCUGGUCUGAGAGGACGAUCAGCCACACUGGCACUGCGACACGGGCCAGACUCCUACGGGAGGCAGCAGUAAGGAAUAUUGCGCAAUGGGCGAAAGCCUGACGCAGCGACACCGCGUGGGGGAUGAAGGUCUUCGGAUUGUAAACCCCUUUCGGCAGGGAAGAUGGAACGGGCAACCGUUCGGACGGUACCUGCAGAAGCAGCCACGGCUAACUUCGUGCCAGCAGCCGCGGUAAAAC
rnacentral:rRNA from 1 species